rnacentral:rRNA from 1 species
UGCGUAGGCGGAUUAAUAAGUCAGUGGUGAAAUCUUUCGGCUCAACCGAGAAACUGCCAUUGAUACUGUUAAUCUUGAGUUCGGUUGAGGUAGGCGGAAUGUGUAAUGUAGCGGUGAAAUGCUUAGAUAUUACACAGAACACCAAUUGCGUAGGCAGCUUACUAGACCGACACUGACGCUGAGGCACGAAAGCGUGGGGAGCGAACAGGAUUAGAUACCCCUGGUAGUCC